UUAUAUGAUACAAAGUUAAAAGUUUAGUGCCUCAAUCCCAUUAACCACAUUUCCAGUGCUCAGUAGCCACAGAUGACUAGAGGCUGUCAUAUUAGGAAGCACAGAUGAAGGGCAUUUCCCCCAUCAAAGACAGCCCUACUGGGCAACAUUGUGUAAACCACUCCAGGCCUCAGGAAAGACACUCCUGAGUCAUGAAUUCACUCAUUCUCUUUCUGUAAUUUUUCCCUCCUCCACACUUCUUCCUUCUGUAAGCAUGGGCCACCAUUUACCGGUUGCCUGACCUUGGGGAACUCAUUUAAAUACUUUGGGCCUCAGUUUCCUUAUUUGUAAAAUGAGAAUGAAAAAGGCAACAUGGCUGCAAGUACUCAAUAAAUGGUGGUGAUUGUGAUCCAUCCCAAUCUUAAUUCCUGUAUUAGAAUGCCCAGUCCUGCAUGCCCAUAAACCACCACACUAAAAAUAGCCCCUGUCUCUGCACAAGCUCCUUUUGCACUCAUGGCCAAAUUAAAUCUCUCUUGUAUAAUUGCUGCCACUCUCAGUUUGUAUUUAGGUGGGAAGAUUUCUGAAUCAAGCCUAAUAAGUCUUGAGAACGAACUGCAGAGGGUAGAGGGAAGGAAAUUACUCUGACAAUUUGGAAUAAAACAAGAUCAGGAAAAGCACAGCAGAUAAACCCUGCAAGGAUUGAGACCCCACAUCUUUCAAUGGAAAAUCCCCAAAUGGUGACAUUGAGAAAGCUGACCCAAUGGCAAACCAUGAAGUAUGUUUAAACAGCAAUUAAGACUUUCCUCCCCUGAACUGGAUCUCUCAGCUUAUACAACCAUCUGUUUCUUUGUUUCUAAACAAGGAGCACCGCCUGCCCUGACUUUGUUUUCUAAUUCCUGGUUCAUGCACUGCUAGCUGAGCCUGCCAGAUAACACGAUUUGGAGAAUAAGGUAUUAUGGAGAAGGCACUCUGGGCCACAGGAUUUUUGAGUGGAGAAGAAGAGAGAAUUGAGACUUCCCUCGUAACUUUUCUGUACGAGAAAGUUUGUUUUCCAGGCAUGUACUGAUUGCUUCACGUUGAAGAAUAGGCCAUGAGAAUGGAGGAAGUAUUAGUACCAUGUUCACCCACAUUGUGCAGGGUGGAAUGAGUAGGAUUCACUCUGCAGACGUGGAUUCAACUGCUGGCCCUGCCAUCGACUAGUUGAGGGCUUUGGGCAAGGUUUGCCUUUGUGAGCCUUUGUGUAUUUGUCUGUGAAGUGGGCAUGAUAUUUAACUCCCAGAAAUGCUAUACAUUUUCAAAUAUCAAAUGUAACAAAGCAUUUUAUAAAUUGUAAAAUGCCAUGCAAAUAUUAGCUUCUGUCACUUGCACAGGAGCCUCUUUGAGUAUGGCACUGAGUUUGCAGCCAGCUGGCCAUAAAGACGCCAAACAUGCAGGCAUGGGAAGCUUUUCUCUACUGUUUAGCGUUGUGCCUCAACUAUGAAAUUGCUGAGGAGGGGCAUGGGAGACAAGUUUGUUGAUAGGUGUAGGACCCCAGUGAGGGGCCAGGACAGGAAUUCAGGCACAUCUGUGUGGCACACACAAGCACGUUCCCUCCAAUCUCUCUUGGCUUUCUCUCGUGUCCUUAACCACCUCUUCUCCUCAAUUUGCCAAAAGCCAUGCAAGCAAACAACAAUUAGCAAAGAGGAAUAAAGAGACAUUGGAGAUGAUCACAGAAUGACUUCAUACCCCUAUUUAGAAAUUGCACUAAAUCAUGCUCAGAGAAACUCAUUCUCAGCUGUAGACACUUAGAAUGUUCUCCCGAGUGGCUAAAUAAACUAAUCUUACCUGCAGAAAUACUGCACUCGGGUAGCACGGGCGUCCUCACAGGGGCUGAAGCAAACAGCACUCGUGUCAGUAGCUAGAAGCUCGCUCUUAAAUAACUUUGGGUUUACUAUUUUUCAACUGAAAUUACUAUUUCACAACUUCUGAGAUCUCUCUAUGUGCAAGAUAAAGGCGUGUCAACCGUGAGAAUUUCCCUGGGCUUCACCUGUGUUUUCAUUAGUGCAAUAUAUGGUAUACGGCCUGCACUUUCAACUCCCACAGUGGCCUGUAGUAGAGGUAUGUCCUGUGACAUAAUUUAUAGGCAUAACACUGCCAUUAUGUCAGGCUUCCCGUGGGUAUCCUGAAAUCUUUAUUUCUACAUUCAGGACACAAACACUUCCUUAGUUCUGUUAGGAAAAUGUGAAACACAGUUGCAGUGUCAUCUAAACAAUUUGAUUGUCAGGAUACAUAUUUUCUCCCAGUUUGUAUUAUGAAAACUUACCAAUACAGAAAACUUUGGGAAAUGGCACAUAAAUGUUCUAAGAACCCAGACUUGAACCAAGCAGUCAAGCCAAACAUUUUACCUUCUUUUUUUUUUUGAGAUGGAGUCUCGCUCUGUCACCAGGCUGGAGUGUAGUGGCACGAUCUUGGCUCACUGCAACCUCCACCACCCGGGUU